CUGAGCUCCUGGCAAAAGUAUUUCUUUUGCAUUUUGUUCCUACCACUGCUCCCAGAAAUUUCAGGUAGAGCAUUCCAGCGAGAAGGGGUUUGCACCCGAGCCCGCUGAAGGCCAUCAUUGGCUGAGUGGGGGCUGCAGGUUCCCGGCCGGUUGAGCCUAGCCCUCACAACAGCGCGAAAGGCUAACGCCUGAAACCGCUAGCAACCUUAGGUUGCUGGAGCCGCCCACCUUGAAUGCGAAGGGGCUUGGGAGUAAGCGAUUAGGACGCCUAGCCGACUCUGCUGCCGCCGCCGUCUCCUUCCAGAGGUUUUUUUCACCGCAGCGAUUCAAAUCGCCUUUCACGUGGAAUCGGGGGCUCGAAUUGCAGCUGCGGUUUGUCGGGCGGCUGCCUAGCGGUGACGGAACAACAGAGCGGUUUUUGGGGCGGAGAUCUCGGCUCUGUGGGUGGACCAGACUGUCUGGUCAUCUCCCUUAAAGACAGAAGUCUUCAGGUGACAGGUACUGGAUGGGGGGAAGCUCCUUAUUCACCAGUCACCGUUGUUUUUCCCCCGGUGGCCAUUUUGAAUCGGCCAUUUUGAUUCUGCCUCGUGGCUUUUAGAGGCCUACACAAAUUCAGGCAGUUGGUCUGCCUGGUUAUGCCAGAUCGCCAUUAGCUUGGAAGCCUUCAGUAAUUGGGGCAGUUAGUGACCUAAGCCUAAUUAUUACAUCUCCUGACUGGAAGGCUUGGAAAUAGUUUAUUCAUUUCGUCCUUAUUCCUAGAGACAAGAUGGCUUCUCAGAGGCAGACCAAGGCUUCCAAGCAACGCCUUCAAGAGGAUCUGCCCCAGUUCCGGCUAAGAAAAGCAGGAAAACCCACUAUUCUUCUGGAACAUCCAAGGCCUCCCAGUCGGCUGCAGCCUUGGCCAAAGAGGAGUUAAAGCUCCACAAGGCCAUAGAAAAGGUCAUUCAAAAGGCUGCCAAGGAGGCCUCCUUACGGGAGAAGGUCAUACUUAGCCCUCAGUCAGCUCCUCCUCCUAGGGCUUCUCCUCAAACACAAAGAGGUUCCCAUUACCCCAGGCCCUUACUCCUGCAUUAUCCCUGAAUGGGGAUCCCUUAUUGGCUGAGGGUCAGAAGGAGGUCAAUGUUACACUAUUUGGGGUUCAAUCGGAGCCUCCUCCCAGCCCUGUCCAUCCUCAACCCUUGGAACAACCGGCACAGUCUGAUGCCCCCCUGGCCCCAGUCCCAUUGGCUCCUGAGGCUCUCAUCACUCCUGUCCUGGCUUCAUAUAUCCAGGAGGCAAUCCGGGAAGGGGUUAGACAGGAACUUCUCCAAAGAACCUCUUCAUGGGUUUCUGACCAAGCCUGUUCUCAGGUAGAGGUUGAGGGCUCCAUCAUUUCUACUGACCAGGCUAUCACACAGGAUACUGGGAUUCUAAGGUCUGGCCAGACUAGAGUGGCAUCUGCCUGCUCAUCUGGACAGGAAUCUUUACCUGGAGCUAAUCUCCUAGAUCAGGAGAUGUCGGAAGAUGAGGAUUUAGCCCCUGACCAACCAGCUUUUGUUGGUCUCUUUAAGCCUCAAUUGUUUCGUUCUCUUCUCCACAAAGCCAAGGCCACCAUGGGGUUAGGAACCACUAGACCACCGGAUGCCGGCCCGGGAGAGGGGGUGUCCACAGCGGUUCCCCUUUUUGAGGAACCAGCUAUCGAAACCGAGGAAAUCCCAGGGCCUAAGCUAUUUAGGGACGUGUUACAACGUCAAUGGUCAUCCCCGGCCUUGGGCCCUAGCCCUAAUGCGGUGGACAGGUGCAUCUACAAUUUGGCUCCUGAAUUAGCUUCUAUCUUGCAAGUCCCUUCGGUCGACCAACCAGUGGCUGAAUUGUCGGCUACCUCUAAUUUGACAGGGCCCCCAGAGGACAACCUCCACCCAGAGGAUGGUGCCUAGAGAAUUCCUUGGUUAGAUCCCAUCAGGCCAUGGCCUGGUCAGUUAAAUAGGCCUUGGCCGCUUCCUUUUUUAAUCGGGCUUCCAUCCUUUGGUUACGUCAACUACAGGCCCCCCUCCCUAUUUCUGAUCUAUGGGCCCAACAAGACAUAAGCAAGGUCAUUGUGGCAUUAGAAUAUUCAGCGGACGCUACGUUAAAUUCUUCACGCUUCGCUGCCAAAGCCAGUGGUUCCUCUGUAGCUGCCCGUUGCCUGCUCUGGCUUCACCAGUGGCAGGCUGAUGCCAAAUCUAAAUGGCGCCUAGCCACUUCCCCCUUUGAGGGGUCCGAGCUUUUUGGAACCUCCCUGGAUCCUCUUCUGGUGGAGUCCAAGGAUAAACGCCGCAUCCUCCCCAAUUUGUCCCGUUGGUCGGACGCUAGGUCUCAGUCAACCUUUCGACCCUUUAGGAGCCCUGACGGAGGAUUUACGGGGACCCGUAGACAAAGGUCCUUUCCCCCUAGACAAUUUCGACCCCACGACAGACAAGGUUUCUCUUCUUCAUCCCAGGGUCAAUCUAAACGUCCCUUUUGAGGGGGCAGGGGGUGGGGUUUCUGCAGAUCACGAUGAUGGUCCGGCCUCACUUCCCAUUGGGGGCCACCUGGCGUCCUUCGCCAGCCAAUGGGAGGCUACCUUGUCGGACGUUUGGGUCAGGGAGACGGUCAGAUUUGGCCUCUCUCUAGAAUUCCUCUUCAUUCCUCCCGACCGGUUUCUUCGCUGUCCCCUGUCCCGGGACAGGUCCUCCAGGCUCCUGGUGGCAUCGGCCAUUCAACAUCUUCUCGAAAUUCAGGCCAUCGAACCGGUGCCUCAGGAGCAGCACGAACAAGGCUUCUAUUCACGCCUAUUCGUUAUUCGGAAAUCAUUGGGGGGAUGGAGGGCAAUUCUCGACCUCAAGUCCCUGAAUCGCCAGAUUGCAUAACAGCGAUUCAAGAUGCAGUCCCUCCAGUCCACCUUGGAGGGCAUCAGGGUCAGGGAUUACCUCACGUCUAUCGUCUGACGUAUCUCCAUGUCCCCAUCCGCCCCUCCUACUGUCGUUUCCUCAGGUUCUGUUUCGUGAACAGACGUUACCAGUACCAGGGUCUCCCAUUGGGCCUUUUGUAUCUCCAUGUCCCCAUCCGCCCCUCCUACCAUCGUUUCCUCAGGUUCUGUUUCAUGAACAGACAUUACCAGUACCGGGCUCUCCCAUUGGGCCUUUCCUCGGCCCUCCGAGUGUUUACUAAAUUGAUGGCCGCGCUGGCAGGCCACCUCCGGACACUGCCAAUAAGGAUGCAGUUCUACCUGGACGACCUCCUUAUCCAGUCUUUCUCGGAGCGGCUAGCACAUCAAGACCUGGCCUCCACUCUACAGGUCUUGAGGAGCCACGGGUACUCUGUCAAUUUGGCCAAGAGUCACCUGCUGCUGACUACUUGCUUCCAGCAUCUGGGGGCCAUCAUAGACACGAUGGAGUGCAGGGUCUAUCUUUCCCAGGAUCGCCUGUCCAGCUUGCGGUCUCUGGUCAGGUCAGUGACAACACGGAGGGUCUCUUCCCUGGCGUCACUUUCCCAACUCCUGGGGAAGAUGGUAUCAUGCAUCGGGAUAGUUCCCUGGGCCCGUCUACACUGCAGACAUCUACAGUGGUUUCUCCUUCCCUUCCAAAAACGACAUCUGGGGAAUUCCCACAGGGUGGUUCGUCUUCCUCCCAAAGUUCUCCUGUCCCUCAAAUGGUGGAGUUUGGAGGCCCUUCUUCGGGGGAGGGAGUUCAGGGAAUCCCACUGUCUUAUUCUGACCAUGGACGCCAGCCUUCAUGGCUGGGGUGCCCAUCUCUCUUCAUCUCGCGCCCAGAGGCGUUGGACCCGGGUGGAUUUGGAGCACAACAUAAACUGGUUAGAGCUCCGGGUCAUGCACCUGGCUCUCAGGGUCUUCGUUCACAAGGUGAAGGACAGACGUACUGAUCAGGACGGACAACGUGGCUGCCAAGGCCCAUGAAACUGCCUUGGCACCUCAUGGAGGAGGCCAAGAGGCUGGGAGCCUGGGUGGAGUCUCAUCUGUAGUCCUUAUGGGCCACUCACAUUUCGGGGGUGACAAACACUCAGACGGACUGGCUCAGCCAGGCCACAGUGAAUGGGCCCUGGACCCACGGCUGUACAGGGAGAUCACGUCUCUCUUUGGGAUUCCGGGGGUGGAACUUUUCGCCACUCGGAACAACCGUCAGACACAGAGGUUCUUCUCCGGUUCCCGGAUCCAGAGGCGGAGGCUGUGGACGCUCUGCACAGCGACUGGCCUCCCGGUCUCCUGUACACCUUUUUGCCACUUCCCCUUAUAAGCAAAGUCAUUCAGAAGAUGCUGAUGGAGAGGGCGGAACUUCUUCUGAUCGCGCCCCAUUGGCCUCGUCGACCUUGGUUCGCGGAUCUGAAGGCCCUUUCCGUCUGCCCCCCCCCCCGUGGCAUCUUCCUCCGGAACAACUCAUUCUUCGACAAGGAUCCGUCCAACAUCCGGACACUGGCUGGCUACAGCUAACCGCCUGGAGACUGAGCGACCGGAAACUUCCUCCCAGGGUCAUCGUUACCAUCCAGGCAGCCCAUCGCCCUUCGACGACCCGUAUUUACAAUUCCACAUGGAGGACGUUCUCUUCCUGGUGCCAGAGGAACUCCAUUGUCGCUACCUCGGCCUCUAUGGAACAGAUACUGGUGUACCUUCAGGAUCGUCUGGACACAGGUUUGGCUCCCAACUCUCUCCGCAGGCAAGUAGCUGCCCUUUCCUCCAUCCUUUGCUGUGAGACAAAGGGGUCUCUCUCCCAUCGUCCCCUCAUUAGACAGUUCCUCAGGGGGCACCUCUAACCUCCGUCCAGCCCCUAUCCAUAGAUAUCCCACAUGGGACUUGCCCAGGGUUCUGGAUGCCCUCAUCCGAGCUCCCUUCGAACCUCUCAGGGAGGUCGGCUUGAGGUUUCUCUCAUACAAAGUAACCUUCCUCCUGGCCAUCACCUUGGCCAGGCAUGUUUCGGAACUGGCCCUUUCCACGCGGGCGGACCUUUGCAUUUUCCACCCCGACAGGGUGGUUCUUAGAUUGGACCCCACCUUUCUCCCUAAAGUCAACUCCCCUUUCCAUUGGGCUCAGGAACUUGUCCUUCCUGAUUUCUGUCCCAACCCUUCCCACCCUUUGGAACGGGCCUGGCACACCCUAGAUGUCAGGCAGGCCUUGCGUAUUUACCUUAGGAGGACCUCGGCCUUCCGUCAGACGGAAUCCCUCCUCGUAUCUUUCCAACCUUCUUCAUUGGGUGGGAAGGUUUCCUCGGCCACCCUGGGAUGUUGGCUUAGGGCUAGCAUUGCCAAAGCCUACGAGGUCCAGUCUCUCCCUGUCCCUCGUCACAUCACAGCCCAUUCCACAUGCAGCACGGCUACCUCGGUAGCUUGGGCCACUCAGGCGUCCUUAGAGGAAGUCUGUCGUGCCGCUGCCUGGGCUUCGCCCACUCCUUUCAUCCGGUAUUACCAGCUUGACUGGUUUGCCUCAGCGGAUGCGGCCUUUGGACGCAGGGUCCUCCAACAGGUCUAUAGUAGGUCAGCCUCUCCGGCUCAGGCGGGUCCCUCCCAAUAGGUCUCUGCUUGGGCAUGUCCCAUUCCUGACCACUGGACCCAGAAUCAACGAGAAUGGGCGUUGUCUUACCUGAAUGCCCCUUCUGAUUAUUCGGGGUCCAGUGGUCAGCCUCACUCUGUUUAGGCCCUUGCCGGCUCGGCGGCUCUUUCGGCCUACUUUUCUCUCUUUUUCAGCUCUACGUGUCGGUCUGCUGUAUCAUCUUUCAUCAGAAAGCUGGGAAGCAUGGCAAAGAGGAGGAGCUUCUCAGCUAGCAGACUCAAUCAAUCAUAUCGGAGGGAGUUUAACCCGUUCCUGACCACUGGACCCCAAACAACCAGAAGGGGUGUUCAGGAAAUGACAAAAGUGUGCCAAGAUUCUUGAUUAGAGAAGUGGAAUUUGAGAAAAAGGAUCUAACUAGG